rnacentral:sRNA from 1 species
CUCUCUCUCGCCACCUUCUACCUUCCUGUCUCCCUCGAGCUAUCUACACAUGCUCUGGUCAGCAUGCUCACCACCUCCUCGGGCCCUGUCCGGUACAUGAGUUAACAGUAUGAGAAAGAUGAGUAAGCAAGGAAAACUAGGAAACAUAUAUAAACUGUAGUUUCAUAGUUUUCAUAGUCUCCCAGGAAAAUCAAUACUGUUGUCUUCUCUUACCUUGUCCCAGUCCCGUUGCCUCUUUUCACCUUCUAGACCUUCCAACGUCUAAAAGUCGCAUCGGUCAGCCAUUAGUCCGGCUCCUGUUCCUUUUCAUCCCUCGGCUAUUCUGUCCUCGUCCUUCCUUCUCGCCACCCUCUUCGAUUGAGCGUCGGGCUUUUACGCUGACCGGCGUGACGUCCCUGACAGAAAGGAUGGCACAUAAGAAAGUAGCUUUUCAUAAUUUCCCAGUUCCCCAGGAAAUCAAUACUGUUGUCCUUUCUCACUAUCUUUCCUACGAGCAUCCUUCUUUUUACGUCGCUUCAGCCAAUCCUUAGUCCAGCUCCUCCUGCUCCUUCAGGCCCUGGCUAUGACGUAUUCCUUCCUCUAAGUCCAGCUUCUCGCACUUGGGCAGUAUAAUAAACCACUGAGUGAAUUUUAAGGGUGCCUCUGUGUGUAGAAACAAUGGCUGGGAGGAUACGCUGUGCAUCGAUGUAAAUUGUUCUUAUUUGGAUACUGUGUUCCGUCUCACUUCAUAAACGAACGAAGCGAUGAACAAGAACGAGACGAAGAAGAAAAGCUGGACCCGGGCGGCAGAGGUCGCCAAAAAAAAAGGCAGGCCUAAUGGGACCUUUUUCCUACAAACCCAAAUGUUGGCCUUAAUUCGGCUCAAAAUUUCCCGUCGACCCAGGCGCUGGACUCCUUUCGCAAAAAACUUCAUUUUAAGCAUGGUUUGGGGAUUUUGGAUAACAAUUUCCGAACGGCAGAUUUUCUACUGGAAUAUGGAGUGUCGCGCACUGUACCAGUACAACAAUACCAUCAUGUGGAGAGAUCAGACCUCAACGUCAGAUCAUCCUCCGCGGACUUGUCACGGGCCGUCCAUCGGUCACGGCUGUAGAAAGCGCAAACGCCUGUAUGAUAUAUGGAUGCCUUCGUCUAUCUCCUCCAGAUGAACAAUAAUCGCACUCAGUGUCCGGAUCCAUGGGUGCUGGAAAUUAAAGAUUCCCGGCCUCGCCACUAAAAGCAGGGCGAUGUCAUUGGCAAAGGAGGAUGAUUGUGCGCGGGAUUGACGGCCCUUCCACGCCCAAUUUUCACCUCACAUCAUUCGGUUCCAUUUCAGUUUCCGCCAUUUCUCAUGCUGUAGCAGCAAAAAAACACUCAUUUGACCGUAUAUGUGGCCCUACUACGCGCAUUUUCAAAUAUGUCCCUUCUGGUGAUGAUAAGAUCGAGUAUUUUGUAGCGAGGUUUUGCAAGUACGGUAGAAUUUGUCCUGACUAUGGAAUACUCGGCCACCAACGAACUCGCCAUCAUAUCGAUGACUUCGAAAAUGCAUUUUGUUUCGUUG